UACGUAGGGUGCAGGCGUUAAUCGGAAUUACUGGGCGUAAAGCGUGCGCAGGCGGUUUCUUAAGUCAGAUGUGAAAUCCCUGGGCUCAACCCAGGAACUGCGUCCGAUACUGGUUGGCUUGAAUCCGGGAGAGGGAUGUGGAAUUCCAGGUGUAGCGGUGAAAUGCGUAGAUAUCUGGAGGAACACCGGUGGCGAAGGCGACAUCCUGGACCGGCAUUGACGCUGAGGCGCGAAAGCCAGGGGAGCAAACGGG
rnacentral:rRNA from 1 species